rnacentral:rRNA from 1 species
AUUGAACGCUGGCGGCAUGCUUUACACAUGCAAGUCGAACGGUAACAGGCCGCAAGGUGCUGACGAGUGGCGCACGGGUGAGUAAUGCAUCGGAACGUGCCCAGUCGUGGGGGAUAACUACUCGAAAGAGUAGCUAAUACCGCAUACGAUCUAUGGAUGAAAGCGGGGGACCGUAAGGCCUCGCGCGAUUGGAGCGGCCGAUGUCAGAUUAGGUAGUUGGUGGGGUAAAGGCUCACCAAGCCAACGAUCUGUAGCUGGUCUGAGAGGACGACCAGCCACACUGGGACUGAGACACGGCCCAGACUUCUACGGGAGGCAGCAGUGGGGAAUUUUGGACAAUGGGCGCAAGCCUGAUCCAGCAAUGCCGCGUGCAGGAAGAAGGCCUUCGGGUUGUAAACUGCUUUUGUACGGAACGAAACGGCUCUGGUUAAUACCCGGGGCUAAUGACGGUACCGGAAGAAUAAGCACCGGCUAACUACGUG